rnacentral:hammerhead_ribozyme from 1 species
AUCGAGCUGACGAGUCCCAAAUUGGACGAAACGCUCAUCAAACUGGAU